CAUCUUGUCAGCAAACAACGAACAGUAAAGCACUCCGCUCCUUGUCCAGUAUUUCAGAGCAAAAGACAACGGAAAUUGUUCCUAGUACAUUGUAGCUCUAUAGUUUAGAGGUCCAAAUACCUGCAAGUGGGACUUUCACCAAGCUGCUGUUCUGCAAAGAUUGAAUGUUGGCUUUUUUAGAUACAGAGAUAUCAGGCCGAGUUGUCUACUGGGAAUAGCCAGAAGGGGACUUUUGUGCUUGCCCUUCCCGCUCCCGUGGCAUCUCAACACUUGUAUGCCAGUCACCGCCUGGUCUGGGAUCGUUGAGGAGUACGUUGUCCUCAGCCCCGUUAUCGCCCAGUAUCACCCAAACACCAGCCACUUUGCGGUACCAAACAUGCUAGCCAACUUGUGACACCAAGUGUGCCAGCCAGCCAGCCUGUGACAUCAAGUGCCAGCAAUCUAGUGACACCAAAUCCGCAAGUACCUGUACAAUCCUUUGAACUCUUUUCCACAGAAAAUGCCGAGCUGAAUUCUCGCAAGAACACCACCACCCCACGACAACGGUCCGUUGACGUCGCCAGCUGCAUAUCUACAGAGAACUUUAAUUGUCCUUGAUGAACAUUAGGGCGAUAUAUCUGGGUUUUGUGCUACAGUCAGAUACUGAAAUAUACAUAUGUUUUUCCCACUUUGGUUAUACAGUCAGCGGUGACAUGACAAUACUAUUUUAAUGCGUAAUAUGGUUGCAAUAAAGCAAUUUUCAACUGUGCACAGUAUAACUGAUGUCGACAAUUGAUUUGUUUUCCCGAAAGGAGUUGGUUAUUUAAAUCGGUUCCUGCCAUUUUGGGUGAACCCAGGUUACACAAACAUGAGAACAAGAAGUAUCACGUUGCUUAUACUACCUACAAUGUACAUGUACAGCUGAUGGGUACUAGAUUUACUUGGGCUUACCUUGGACAGUUCUUGUCAACAAAGGUUAGGGUUUAAUUUUUUUGUUUUAUAAUGCUUACUACUCCAGUAAAUUCGUUUUAAAUGAAACGUAUACAUUUUGUGGCCUGCUGUUUCAGUUCACUUUUAACCUAAAGAACACCAAAAAUAAUCUUGGAAAUUGUUACUUCUGUACGUGCACACCAAGUUGCACAAGUCCUCUUGUAUUCUAGAUUUUCGGAAAGUGAGAGGUCAAUUUCCGACAAGAUAUUUCUCUUCCAGUUCAGCCAAUUUAUCAGAGUGCUACAGGCUAGCAAGUAACUUUCAUGUAUGUUCGAUGUUGAUUUUGUUAGAAACAAAUAAACAAAAAUAAUUGCAUAUUCUAAAAUUUUGCAAGUUCAAGUUAAUUUUCCUAUCCAAGGGUUCCGAAAGCGAGCUAUCUGGGUUCAACUUCGAGACUCUGUUGGAAUUCAUAUGAAACUCAACGUGUUUAAACAGUAAAUUUCCAUUUCAUCUGAACGUCUACACAGUUUUCUAUUGUGAGAUCUAGAAUAGUCCAACAAUGCUUUUGCGUCGUGAUGCCCAAAUAGCUGGUUAUCAGCUACGGACUCAAGUGCCAUGAACUGCUUAAAAACACAAGAAGAGAUGGUCCUGAUGACAUACCAUACGCUGUCUUAUUGAAUUUGGAACGUAAUUAAAUAGUGGCGGUCUCUGGUAAUUUAUAACAGCAUCAAUGUUAAACAAGACGGUUUUAAACUCUUUCAAUCAAGGUAAACUGUGAUAUUUUUUUCAAAGUAACUGUCAAGAGAGAUUAUUUAAAUAAUUAAAUAAUUCUAUAUUAUUCGCAAUGUAACACCCUAUUAAAUAAUUAAACACUUUGUUCCAGAUACUUUAGUA